GUGUUGUUUAAAAGGAGAGAAGUUUAGCACUCCCCUUGACAAGGAUGGAAUAACACACAAAGGCAUUUGACAUCGUAAAGAUGUCGCACAUGCAUUUUUUUAU
rnacentral:ncRNA from 1 species